rnacentral:rRNA from 1 species
GACGAACGCUGGCGGCGUGCCUAAUACAUGCAAGUAGAACGCUGAAGAGAGGAGCUUGCUCUUCUUGGAUGAGUUGCGAACGGGUGAGUAACGCGUAGGUAACCUGCCUGGUAGCGGGGGAUAACUAUUGGAAACGAUAGCUAAUACCGCAUGAUAUUAAUUGUCGCAUGAUAAUUAAUUGAAAGAUGCAAUUGCAUCACUACCAGAUGGACCUGCGUUGUAUUAGCUAGUUGGUGAGGUAACGGCUCACCAAGGCGACGAUACAUAGCCGACCUGAGAGGGUGAUCGGCCACACUGGGACUGAGACACGGCCCAGACUCCUACGGGAGGCAGCAGUAGGGAGUCUUCGGCAAUGGGGGGAACCCUGACCGAGCAACGCCGCGUGAGUGAAGAAGGUUUUCGGAUCGUAAAGCUCUGUUGUAAGAGAAGAACGGGUGUGAGAGUGGAAAGUUCACACUGUGACGGUAUCUUACCAGAAAGG